rnacentral:misc_RNA from 1 species
GGGCAGCGACGACAUAUCUUCCACGUCUCUUCAGCUUUUGGCUCGAGUGCUUGCUUGGCCGACGUUGGUUUCCUGUGCUGAAUACCUAUUUGCAGGGCAUUGUGUCGGCUACGUUUGUUCUAUUUCCACCUUGUGCCGCUGNUCCACGUGGGCGUGCGGUGCGGGGCGGGACAAAUCGCGCACGUAGUGUGUCGCACCGCGUUCGCCCCUAGGGGCGUUCGGGUUGUCGACCCACGACGUGUUGCUCGGUCUCUCGGGUACGGUGCAUCAUGUGUGUACGAGGCCGUCGGUCUCCGAGCACCACAAUCAAGCGUUCUACGCUUCGUGCGAACGACCGUCGGUUCUGGUCUUUGGCCG